UGAGGAUCAGUGAUGUUACUUGAGAACCUGCGUUAUCUAUCUGUAACUUCCUGCAGGAAUUGAAGAUCACUUACUGUUACCCCUU